rnacentral:misc_RNA from 1 species
GUGGAAUUCAGGCUCCAUGUAUUUUGGACCCUUUAACGGUACAGGCUUAAUCAGAUUGACAUCACAAAUCAGAAUCUAAUCUCAGGAGUGGAAAAGUUAUGAUAAAGGUUAAUCAAGAUGACACCUUUAGGCAAUUACGAAUAAAAGAGUAAUUUUCUAUCACAUCAGCAUUCCUUUCUUUCUAGCCACCAGGCAAGCGAUUUCCUCUCAGAAUAUUGGGCCUGCAAUUGCACGGCUGCUAUCUCCACAUAUACCCCAUUGGAAAAUUUUAGCAUAUCCCUGAAAUG